rnacentral:rRNA from 1 species
AUAUAAUUAAGCGGAGGAAAAGAAACCAACUGGGAUUCCCGUAGUAGUGGCGAACGAAGUGGGAAAAGCCCGCGAUGUUAAUCCGUUUCUGACGGAGUUGUGCAUCGAGGUUGUGUCUAUUAAGAAACUGGGAACAAGAUGCCUGGAAAGGCACGCCAGAGAAGGUGACAGCCCUGUUCUUAUUCCAGCUAUUCUUAAGUACAGACAUAGUCUAAUGAGUCACGCUCUUUGGGAGUAGAGCGCAAAAUGGGUGGUAACCUCCAUCCACGGCUAGAUAAUGGUGAGAGACCGAUAGCGCACAAGUA